rnacentral:lncRNA from 10 species
GGGGGUUUCACCUAGUUAGCCAGGAUGGUCUCCAUCUCCUGACCUUGUAAUCCACCCACCUCGGCCUCCCAAAGUGCUGGGAUUACAGGCGUGAGCCAUCGCACCUGGCCCAUGGUGAAGACAUUUGACUGUCAUUUCCUCCUUCACCCUUCUCACUUUUCCUUAUCCUCUUAUCCUUCCUUUUCCCUCUCUCCUCUCUUUUGUUGGGAACUGAGAUUUCAGUUGACAUACCCAGCAAGGGGUAUAGGCCUAGCAUUUCCAAGCCUGAGACUUUAGCUGCCUUCAGUUUCCUAAUUUAUUUUGGUAAUACAAAUUAAGCAAUAUGCUUGUCAAAAAACUGAUUUUAUUGACUGCCCAUUUAUCUUGCCCCUGGGACAUUAUUCUCUCUUAAGCAUUUCCAAAUUCUCUGUAAGUCAGGACCCCUAGUUCAAAUUCCAACCUUUGCCACUUAUUACAGUCAUUAUACACAUUUUGCUCUCCAUCUGCACUCUAUUGUCUCAGGUUCUCUCAUCCCCAGUGGUAUCAUGGAGCUUAGGUCUAUAAUAGCAUAUUUUCCAGGCCCUCUACAGAACAUACCUUGUUGGUGGGUUUUCCAGCUUUAUGUAUUCUAUCUACUUCAAAAUGUCCGGUCCUCUAAGCCUCUUGAUUCCCUCCUCCUCAAUAUGGCACAGAGUUUCUUGCAUUUCUACUUUAUUUAGUGGAAAAUUUCACUUGUUCCAAGAACUCAGAAUAUUCCAAGUUCACCCUAACAGCAUGUUAGUUGUAUCUACCAAAAUUCUAAUCAUGGCAUUAAAUAUCAUAUCGCAGAAAAGUACUCCCAUAUUAACAAACUCUCUCUAACAUGAAUUUAUGUUUCCUUUUGUUGCAGUCCCCUUUUCCCCUGUUCAAUGAGGUACAGCCUCUUGUCCCACGACCAAGAAGAACAAGGCACGCAGACACCAGUGGGCUAGAGUAUAGUGUCACAAUCUCAGCUCACCGCAACCUCUGCCUCCCAGGUUCAAG